rnacentral:rRNA from 1 species
UAGGGAAUCUUCGGCAAUGGACGAAAGUCUGACCGAGCAACGCCGCGCGAGUGUAGAAGGUUUUCGGAUCGUAAAACUCUGUUGUUAGAGAAGAACAAGGACGUUAGUAACUGAACGUCCCCUGACGGUAGCUAACCAGAAAGCCACGGCUAACUACGUGCCAGCAGCCGCGGUAAUACGUAGGUGGCAAGCGUUGUCCGGACUUAUUGUGCGUAAAGCGAGCGCAGGCGGUUUCUUAAGUCUGAUGUGAAAGCCCCCGGCUCAACCGGGGAGGGUCAUUGGAAUAUGGGAGACUUGCGUGCAGAGGAGGAGAGUGGAAUUCCAUGUCUAGCGGUGAAAUGCGUAGAUAUAUGGAGAAACACCGGUGGCGAAGGCGGCUCUCUGGUCUGUAACUGACGCUGAGGCUCGAAAGCGUAGGGAGCAAACAGG